GGAUCCGCGUGGGGGGAGGAAAGCCUUUGGGUUGUAAACCCCUUUUCUCAGGGAAGAAGAAAGUGACGGUACCUGAGGAAUCAGCCUCGGCUAACUCCGUGCCAGCAGCCGCGGUAAUACGGAGGAGGCAAGCGUUAUCCGGAUUUAUUGGGCGUAAAGCGUUCGUAGGUGGCAAUUCAAGUCUGCUGUCAAAGACAGUAGCUCAACUACUGCAAGGCAGUGGAAACUGAAUAGCUAGAGUGCGGUAGGGGCAGAGGGAAUUCCCGGUGUAGCGGUGAAAUGCGUAGAGAUCGGGAAGAACACCGGUGGCGAAAGCGCUCUGCUGGGCCGCAACUGACACUGAGGGACGAAAGCUAGGGGAGCGAAUGGGAUUAGAUACCCCAGUAGUC
rnacentral:rRNA from 1 species